rnacentral:rRNA from 1 species
UACGUAGGGGGCUAGCGUUGUCCGGAAUCAUUGGGCGUAAAGAGCGUGUAGGCGGCUCGGUAAGUCCGCUCUGAAAGCCCGGGGCUCAACCCCGGGAGGCGGGCGGAUACUGUCGAGCUAGAGUCCGGAAGAGGCGAGUGGAAUUCCUGGUGUAGCGGUGAAAUGCGCAGAUAUCAGGAGGAACACCGAUAGCGAAGGCAGCUCGCUGGGACGGUACUGACGCUGAGGUGCGAAAGCGUGGGGAGCAAACAGG